rnacentral:tRNA from 1 species
GCCCUGGCCGAGUGGUUAAGGCGUUUGACUAGAAAUCAAAUGGGAUCUUCCCGCGUAGGUUCGAAUCCUACUCGCAACG